rnacentral:lncRNA from 1 species
GAGUCAUAUUAACUUCACCCAGCAACAAACAGAUUGUGGAAAACAGACUGUGUGAUUCAAGCUUAAGGUAGUUUCUAGCCAACACCUUGAAUGAUUCAAAAUUGCAAUAUGACAUUUCUAUGUGCUUGUCCAUCCUUCCUUUUCGAAUCAAUGCUGCGUCAAGCUUUUCAACAUGAUUAGUUGUGAAUACUAUAAGCCUCUCUCCUCUACAAGCUGACCACAACCCAUCAAUGAAAUUGAGAAGCCCAGAAAGUGUGACCUGACUAGGCUUGCUUUCCCUUUCUUCUUUAGGAACCUUCUCCCUUGGAUCUUUCUCUUCCUCAUCAUCCCCUUUGUCCUUCCUCUGCUUCCUCCUUUGACCUGUGAGAUCAAGUGAGCAAUCAAUGUCUUCGAUUACAAUAAUCGACUUGCUUGAUGUUUCGAUCAGCAGCUUCCUCAGUUCAGUGUUGUCCUUGACUGCAGUCAAUUCUAGAUCAUAGAGAUCAUACCCCAAGAGAUUGGCCAUGGCAGCAAUCAUUGUGGACUUGCCAGUUCCUGGAGGGCCAUGAAGUAAAUACCCUCUUUUCCAAGCUCUCCCAAUUCUUGUAUAGAACUCUUCAGCUUUGCUAAAUGCCAUCAAAUCCUCAAUGAUGUCCUUCUUCUUCUCUGGCUCCAUUGCUAGUGUCUGAAAUGUUGCUGGGUGCUGAAAAACCACAUGGCUCCAAUGUGACCCAUUAUUAGUAUAAAGCUUCCUUUGCCUGUUCCUCACUUUGAUAGCAUUACCCUCUUUCAAUACAUGAGCCAAAUAAGGCCCAAUUAUGAGAUCCCUCUUUCUUUUGUGGAAAGUGAGCUUGUAAUACCUCUUCUCAUCAUUUACGGGGAUGUAUGAAAGUGUCUGAGAUUUUGGUAACUUACCAGAAGCCCACCAUACUUGGACACCUUCAAACUCAUCAGCAACUUCUUCAUGGUCAUCCAUGCUCAGAACUAGAGACUGGUUGGUCUUGAUGUCACCUUUGAGCCGCUUAGCUUGCGUCGAAGAUUUGGAGCUCAAGUAAUUCUCAAUAGCAGAAUAGGCCUCACUGCGCAUCAGACGCUCUCCUGUCAUCUCAUUGAAGGUAAUCUGGAUGUAAGGAUAAACAUAACCCACCAAUCUCUGUGAGUACUUUUCAAUGUGGUUUCGAAGUUGGUAAGGAAAGAAUUGUUGAAAGAUUGUCCACACAAACAGUAAGGCACCUAUUGUGGAACCUAGAUGAGCAAGCAUGUCUGCUGGAGCAUACAUGCUUCAACUCUGAGCCUUCUGUGUUUUGUGUGUUUUUAUUUGUUCAGAAUGAAAACACAAAUUUUGUGAAAGUUUAGGUGAAGAUUGUAUUGUUUGUAGGAAAAAGUGUGAGGGGAGUCGGUAUGGGACGUUUCUAUGUGAAUACAAUAAGCAUGCUGGUGUAGAAUUGACUGGUGGAUUUGUCUCCAUGCUUAGGGGUCGGCAAAGCCUAUUUGGACUCCUUUGGUUGCAAAUUGGGUUAAGCAAACCAACUGUAAACUACUAGGAAACACCCUGGAAACUUUUUGAAAAUUAUUAGGACCAUGACAUCAUAAUCUUUCAUUCAAACAUCAUGCACCUUCUGUCUUUAGCUUUUCUUCACCUUACUGAAUGAUACAGGUUCAUCCACAAAUUCACUCCUCUAUGGUCUUAGGGAAUCCAACACAAACAAUAUGGGGACAUGGGUUUUCCAGAUUUUCACCAUUAGUUGGUGAUUAGCAAUAAUUAAAUUGGUAGUUUCCUCAGUUUUACUUAAUAGACAUCCCACCCUUAUCACUAUGAGUCUAUGAUUGUGUAUAUAACUAUUUAUAUAUGCAUGUGAUUAUCAUACUGGUGUAUGUGAUUUUAUUGAAAGAGUGAACUACUCAAAGCUAUAUUAUCGGGACCAAAAAAAAAAAAAAAAAACCUCAUUUAUACUUAAUUUGAGGUAGCAGCAAUAAUAGUAACUUUGCUCAUUGCUGCAGGACAGAUGGAGAUGAUUUACCAAAGCUAAAGAGAGGGAUAGAUGGGGAUUGAAUGAUUGAAAGUGUACUGGUGCUUUCCCAAAUCUUGUGGUCAUUCAUGGUAAGCUCUCUAGCCUCCCAUUCUGAUAUUGUAGGCCCUAAUUAUGCUAUACCUUGUACUCUUGUAGCUUGCUUUGUGGACUCAAACAUCCUAUAUAUCUGACUAGCCAUAUGGAGUUAGGAAUUGAUUAGUUCAUGAAGCUUUUGCAUUCUACUUCUGUAUUUCAUAUAAAAGUUUUUCAGUUUUCACUGGCACAAGAGACCUAGAGUGAAUCCAUGCAUGCAACAUAAAAUUUCAAUCAGAGAAACAAAAGCAUAAAAAAGAUCAUUGGUUGCUAUGAAAAAAUGGUAAACAACUCCAUUACAUGAUUCUUAUUAAACAUUGGAAAAAACACAGUGAUUUGGAUAGAUAAUGGAACAGAUGGUUGUAGUUAUGCAGAUAAUUUAACUCUUUUCCUCAUUUUCAAUGGACAACUCCAUUUUCUUUCACAACUUGUUAUCUGUUCCGAUACUUUUGUCUUCAUCUUUAGCAGAUUCUUCUGUUUCCUUCUCUGCUUUCUCUGCCUUCAAAAUUGCUUCUUCCUCUGCCUUCAAUUUUGCUUCUUUCUUUGCCUUCACUUUUGCUUCUUUCUCUGCCUUCUUUCUUGCUUCUUCCUCAGCCUUCACUCUUGCCUCCUCCUUUGCAACCUCGAGAGCUUCAAUUAAGUUCUUCAAACAAGAGCUGGCAUCCUCUACAUUAGAUUUAGGCAUCAAAUUCUCUGCUACAUCAGCUGGAGUCAUGUUGGUCUCCCCCAAUAAGCAUUCAAUGCUUCCGAACAAUUCAUGCGAAUCUAAAUCCAAGUAGUUCCUUGCAAGAACUUUGAAAGCUUCGUAGCAACAAUAAGACAAUUCAAUAUGCUUGUCCAUCCUUCCUCUUCUUAUAAGAGCAGGAUCAAGUUUCUCCACAUAAUUAGUGGUAAACACAAUGAUCCUUUCACUUCCACAAGCUGACCAAAUACCAUCAAUGAAGUUCAAUAGCCCAGACAAAGUAACCUGCCUUGCUUUGCUUUCUUCUCCUUCCUUCAUUUUACGGAUCGGAUCCUUUAUUUCUUUAUCUUCUUCAUCUCUCUCCUUCCUUUUCUUUCGUUGCCCCGUAAGAUCAAGUGAGCAAUCAAUGUCCUCGAUCACAAUGAUAGACUUACUAGGCGUGUCAAUCAGCAGCUUCCUCAGAUCAGUGUUGCUCUUCACUGUCGUUAGCUCAAGAUCAUAAACAUCAUAGUUCAUGAGGUUAGACAUGGCAGCUAUCAUAGUGGACUUACCAGUGCCUGGUGGUCCAUACAGAAGAUAACCCCUUUUCCAAGGCUUCCCUAUUUUCGCAUAGUACUCCUUACCAUUGCUGAACUUCAUGAGGUCAUUGAUGAUGUCCUCUUUCUUUUUUGGCUCCAUUGCUAUGCUCUCAAAUGUUGCAGGGUGUUCAAAGGCUACGGAGCUCCAUUUCCUCGUUUUGUAUCCAGGAGGAUUGUUAAUGUAAAGCUUCCUUUGCCUAUGACUCACCGUUAUUGCCUUCCCUUCUUUUCUCGCAUGGUCAAUAUAAGUCCCUGUGAUUAUAUCCCGGUGGCGUCGGUGGAAUGUGAGCUUAUAACGCCUCUUCUCAUCAGGCUGAGGAUAGAAAGGAAAUGAUGAAGAUUGCCUAGGCGCAGUUUUCCUGGAAGUCCACCACAGCUUAAUGCCUUGGAAUUCAUCAGUCACCUCUUCAUUGUCAUCCAUGACAAGGACUAAAGACUUGCUACCCUUGACUUCUUUUGCUUUGAGCCGUUUUGCUUCUGUAGACGACUUGGUGCUCAGGUAGCUUUGGAUGGCAGUGAACACUUCACUGCGCUUGUGCAACUCGCCGGAAUAUUCAUCGAAGGAAAUCUGGAUGUAAGGGUACACACACCCGAACCAUUUCUGUGUAUAUCUUUGAAUGUGGCUCCGGAGUUGAUGGGGAAAGUAUCGUUGAAACAUGGCAUAAGCAAACAUCAUACUUGCCAGUACUGAACCCAGUGAGCCCAGUCGAGGCCACAACCACAUUUCUCUCAUCAUCAUCCUCUUGAGCAUGGUUGGUUGGUUUUACAAGAUUUAAGACACUUGUAUAUAUAUGGAAUUUGGGCUCUUCAACAGACUUAAUAGGGACUUUCACUUGUCCGGUGGAGGGCUCAAGCAUACAUUCUUGAGCUUUGCCUCUGUGUUUUGUUCACAUUGGGAUGCGUUACAUUUUGUUUAUGUUUAGGUGAAGGUUAUAUUAGUAUAAAACUAUAAAUGAUGGGAAAUGAAUGAGGGUGAGUCACUGUAUGACGUGUCUAUGUGAAUACAUUAUGCAUUCUGAUCUAGAAUGGACUGGUGGAUGGGUCUCUUUGCUGAUUGUCUCCUUGCUCAAGGCCGGCAAAGAGUUUGCUUGCGAAAUGGGUUAGUAUACCAACUGCAAACAACUCACAGAUUCUCGACACUCUACAGUAAAGCCAAAGUACCCUGACAUCAUAUACCAAUGAUGUCAUAAUCUUUCCUUCAGCAUGCAUCAUGCACAAGACCUCUUCUUGUCCUUGGUUAAAAGAUAUUUCUUCCCACCCUUAUCAAAUGAAUGUAUAUGGUUGCAAUAUUGCAUAUGGGAUGAUCAUGAUGUUGCUGCAAGAUAACACAAUAUAAUUAUGUCAAUUUUGGUUCAUUCUGAUUGAUAAAGUACAAUCAUUUUAUUCAUAUGUUUUCCUCAUUGAAUAUGUAGAUGGAGAUUGACUGUGGACCGGUGAAGGUGAUGGAUUUUCUAAAGAAGUCCUGGGUUUUGAUCCACGGUAAGCUCUCUAGCCUCUAGAGAUUGCCCAAUCUUGAGAACAUAGGCUUUGUGGACUUAAACCCGGAUACUGGCAAAUAGCAACAUAGCCCUGCCUGCACCUCAUAACUUGCUUAAUUGUUCAGAUUCCCCCCUUAGUCAUUCCAUAUAUGUGGUCAUAAUUUGUUGAAAUAUAGACGUUUUCCACUGUUACUUAAGCUUUGCAUAGUAAGAUUAUAAAGAGAUUUUUCAGUUUCAAUUGGCAUUACAGUAGCUCCAUGAAACAUGAACUGUAGUAUUUAUUUCAUCAAAACUCAGAAAAUUGGUCAUUAAUUGCUUGAAAAAAGUGCAGAUUGUAAAACAACUCUUAAUGAUACUUAUUUCACACUGUAACUACAGGUUCACAAUUCUUAAUGAUUCUUAUUUCACACUACUGUAACUACUGCUUCAAGUUAUGCAGAUAUAAUUCUUCACACACUACUGUAACUACAAGUUCCAGUUAUGCAGAUUAUUUGACUCUCUUGCCACAUAUUCAAUGAACGACUCCAUUUUCUUUCCCAUCUUGUUUGGCUGAUGUUCCAUUACAUAAUUUACAUUUAACUUCAUCUUUAGCAGACUCAACCUUUUCCUUCUCUUCUUUCUCUGGCUUCAAUUUUGCUUCUUCCUCUUCCUUCAAUUUUGCUUCUUUCUCUGCCUUCUCUUUGGCUUCUUCCUCUGCCUUCAGUUUCACUUCUUCCUCGGCCUUUACUCUUGCCUCCUCCUUUGCAGUCUCGAGAGCUUCAAUCAAGUUC